AACGAACGCUGGCGGCGUGCUUAACACAUGCAAGUCAGGGGGAGGUUGGCUUCGGCCAAUAGUACACCGGCGCACGGGUGAGUAACACGUGAGUAACCUGCCUUUUUGAUCGGGACAACUUGCCGAAAGGUGAGCUAAUACCGGAUAAGUUCUUUAUUUGCAUAGAUAAAGAAGAAAGGUUGGAGCAAUCUAACGCAGAAAGAUGGACUCGCGUCCCAUUAGCUAGUUGGUAGGGUAACGGCCUACCAAGGCGACGAUGGGUAGCCGGCCUGAGAGGGUGGCCGGCCACACUGGGACUGAGACACGGCCCAGACUCCUACGGGAGGCAGCAGUGGGGAAUUUUGCACAAUGCCCGAAAGGGUGAUGCAGCGACGCCGCGUGAAUGAGGAAGGCCUUCGGGUCGUAAAGUUCUUUAGACAGGGAAGAAAUUUAUUGCGAGUAACUGCGCAGUAAUUGACGGUACCUGUAGAAUAAGCCCCGGCUAACUCCGUGCCAGCCGCCGCCGUAACAC
rnacentral:rRNA from 1 species